GACGUAGGAUGCAAGCGUUGUCCGGAAUUAUUGGGCGUAAAGAGUUCGUAGGCGGCAUAUCAAGUCUGAUGUUAAAUCCCGAUGCUCAACAUCGGUCCAGCAUUGGAUACUGAUAAGCUAGAGUGCAGUAGAGGCAAGGGGAAUUCCCAGUGUAGCGGUGAAAUGCGUAGAUAUUGGGAGGAACACCAGUGGCGUAAGCGCCUUGCUGGGCUGUUACUGACGCUGAGGAACGAAAGCCAGGGGAGCAAAUGGG
rnacentral:rRNA from 1 species